CCUGUAUUCUGAACCCUUCACUGUGAAUAUACAACCCGACCCAAGGUGGGAGUUCAUUUUUGUGGUUACUAGAUUUCACUACAUAAGAUGAUGAAUCCAAUCACAAUAAAUGUUUUAAGACACUAAAAAGGGCGCCACUACUCUUCCUCCUGGGAACAGAGGGGCAAGUGUUAGUUGCAAGAAAGUAAGAAGAAAAAACAGAUGAAAACGGGUGAAAAAGUGGCAUAUUCUAUAAUGACAUAGGUCUUCUAUCUGGCCAUGACUCCAUUUUUUGGAAGUACUUCACUGGCACCACACCAUCAAUACCCUCCGUCAAGAUAACUCUGUUUUCAGAGAUAUAAAGCUUCAUCCCAUCUUCCAAAGCUUUUCUCACAUCAAGAAAGAUGAGG
rnacentral:misc_RNA from 1 species